rnacentral:rRNA from 1 species
CCUACGGGGGGCAGCAGUCGAGAAUCAUUCACAAUGGGGGAAACCCUGAUGGUGCGACGCCGCGUGGGGGAAUGAAGGUCUUCGGAUUGUAAACCCCUGUCAUGUGGGAGCAAAUUAAAAAGAUCGUACCCCAAGAGGAAGAGACGGCUAACUCUGUGCCAGCAGCCGCGGUAAUACAGAGGUCUCAAGCGUUGUUCGGAAUCACUGGGCGUAAAGCGUGCGUAGGCUGUUUCGUAAGUCGUGUGUGAAAGGCGCGGGCUCAACCCGCGGACGGCACAUGAUACUGCGAGACUAGAGUAAUGGAGGGGGAACCGGAAUUCUCGGUGUAGCAGUGAAAUGCGUAGAUAUCGAGAGGAACACUCGUGGCGAAGGCGGGUUCCUGGACAUUAACUGACGCUGAGGCACGAAGGCCAGGGGAGCGAAAGGGAUUAGAUACCCCAGUAGUC